rnacentral:rRNA from 1 species
GACGAACGCUGUCGGCGUGCUUAACACAUGCAAGUCGAACGAAGUGGCGAACGGGUGAGUAACGCGUAAUCAACCUGCCCUUCAGAGGGGGAUAACAGUUGGAAACGACUGCUAAUACCGCAUACUGAUGGAGGGGAUUGCGUCUGAUUAGCUGGUUGGAGGGGUAACGGCCCACCAAGGCGAUGCUCAGUAGCCGGUCUGGAAGGAGGAACGGCCACCAUGGGACUGAGGCACGGCCCAAGCUCCUACGGGGAGCAGCAGGGGGGAAUCUUCCGCAAUGGACGAAAGUCUGACGGAGGAAAGCCGCGUGAGUGAUGACGGCCUUCGGGUUGGAAAGCUCUGUUAAUCGGGGCGCGGUACCGAAAUAGAAAGCCACGGCUAACUACGUGCCAGCCGCCGCGGUAAUUC